UAGGGAAUCUUCCGCAAUGGACGCAAGUCUGACGGAGCAACGCCGCGUGAGUGAAGAAGGAUUUCGGUUCGUAAAACUCUGUUGUUAGAGAAGAACAGCGCAUAGAGUAACUGUUAUGCGUGUGACGGUAUCUAACCAGAAAGCCACGGCUAACUACGUGCCAGCAGCCGCGGUAAUACGUAGGUGGCAAGCGUUGUCCGGAUUUAUUGGGCGUAAAGCGAGCGCAGGCGGUCAAUUAAGUCUGAUGUGAAAGCCCCCGGCUCAACCGGGGAGGGUCAUUGGAAACUGGUUGACUUGAGUGCAGAAGAGGAGAGUGUAAUUCCAUGGGUAGCGGUGAAUUGCAUAGAUAUAUGGAGGAACACCAGUGGCGAAGGCGACUCUCUGGUCUGUAACUGACGCUGAGGCUCGAAAGCGUGGGUAGCAAACAGG
rnacentral:rRNA from 1 species